rnacentral:lncRNA from 1 species
GUACGCCACUUUGGCUUGCAAAUGAUCACUUUUGCUAUUUUCGAGGCCAAACUGGAAUGCUGGAGUUCUAAAUUCUGCGUAUCCCUUCUUGCAUGUGUCUUGUUGUCGACUUGCGCCAUCUUUCCCUGUGUUUCAGGCCUCACAAGAUUAAAACUUGAUGCUUCAGACCCUCUGAGCCCCUUUGUCUGCGUGGAACGGGUCUCUAGUCGCGGGUGGACAAAGCGUAGGAUGAGUGACAAACAGACGCACACAGGAGAGGUCGAGGAAUCUGAAUGUCAUUUUUCAAAUCGAGCAUCAGACUUUUUAUGCAGAAGACAAUAAGGAAGUUGGAUGACAUACCUGCAAGCUUUCCCAGAUAUCUCUGAAGAUACCAUUUUGAAUAGGACUCACAUCACUCACUGCCUUGGAAAACAAAUUCGGGGGACCAAAGCAGAGACAAGCCACAGCAAGUAAACAAAGCUCUAGAGGAGAAGCGUUCCACUGCAGCCCCACGAAUCUGCAUGUCUAUCACACCCAGUGCCUGUAUCAUGGGUCUCUGGACUCUCCAGGGAUUUUCUGAAAGCCUGGUUGUUCUUCCAGAAGGGACAGAAGUGCCACUAGCAAGAAAAUCACCUCACCUGUGGCUCUCUAGGCCCCUAACCUAUACCCCUUUCCAAAUUGGAGAGUUUGAGAAAUCCUAAGACCAUGUCUGACUACAAAGUACCACUGUCUUGAGUUUGUAAUGCUCUUCUCUCUGGAUUGGAGCCAGGAUCCACCUCUGUGGGUGGGGAGAGCAGUGUGAAUUGUUUCCCAGAGAAACCCCACUUGGUUUCUUCUCUGUGUUGGACUCUUCAGGGUGGAGAUCACUCUGGCCAUGCAUAAUCAGAUUAACAUCAACGGUCCUUUACUCUGAAGAAGCCAUGGAGACCCCUCUUGCUGAUUAAGCCAGCUCAGGCUCCUGUGGAUGCUAUGGCCCUGGGCACUGAGCCCAGCAUCUGAACUUGUUCCUGGACCAGAGGUUCGAGAUGUCCACUUCUGAGGCCAUUUACUUCUUUGUGGGCCACCAGCUGUU